CCUCUUUCUAGAAUUAUAACUAGAAGAUCCAGACAAGUACUGCAGAUGUCUUCAUAUGUCUUCAGAUUUGUUUGAGGAUCUUGUAAAGAAAUUGAAGCCAUUAAUUAAAAGACAGGAUACUCAUCUUCGACAAAGUAUCUCCCCUGCAGAAAGACUUGCUGUAACAUUACGUCAUUUGGCAACAGGCGGAAGUAAAAAAUCACUAUCUUAUACUUUCCGUCUUGGGACAAAGCACUAUAUCUGG